rnacentral:rRNA from 2 species
CCGGGAUUGCCUCAGUAACGGCGAGUGAAGCGGCAAGAGCUCAAAUUUGAAAGCUGGCCCCUCCGGGGUCCGCAUUGUAAUUUGCAGAGGAUGCUUCGGGCUCAGCCCCCGUCUAAGUGCCCUGGAACGGGCCGUCGGAGAGGGUGAGAAUCCCGUCUGGGACGGGGUGCCUGGGUCCAUGUGAAGCUCCUUCGACGAGUCGAGUUGUUUGGGAAUGCAGCUCUAAAUGGGUGGUAAAUUUCAUCUAAAGCUAAAUACUGGCCGGAGACCGAUAGCGCACAAGUAGAGUGAUCGAAAGAUGAAAAGCACUUUGAAAAGAGAGUUAAACAGCACGUGAAAUUGUUGAAAGGGAAGCGCUUGCGAUCAGACUCGCCUGCGGGGUUCAGCCGGCAUUCGUGCCGGUGUACUUCCCCGUGGGCGGGCCAGCGUCGGUUCGGGUGGCCGGUCAAAGGCCCCGGGAAUGUGUCGCCCUCCGGGGCGUCUUAUAGCCCGGGGUGCCAUGCGGCCUACCUGGACCGAGGAACGCGCUUCGGCUCGGACGCUGGCGUAAUGGUCGUAAGCGACCCGUCUUGAAACACGGACCAAGGAGUCUAACAUCUACGCGAGUGUUUGGGUGGCAAACCCAUACGCGCAGUGAAAGCGAACGGAGGUGGGAACCCUUCGGGGCGCACCAUCGACCGAUCCUGAUGUCUUCGGAUGGAUUUGAGUAAGAGCGUAGCUGUGGGGACCCGAAAGAUGGUGAACUAUGCCUGAAUAGGGCGAAGCCAGAGGAAACUCUGGUGGAGGCUCGCAGCGGUUCUGACGUGCAAAUCGAUCGUCAAAUUUGGGUAUAGGGGCGAAAGACUAA